CCGCGUUGCUCUCUCUCUUCCCGACCUUUCUCUUUCUCGUCUUCCCUCUGCCACCACUGGAGACUCCAACUCCGGCCACCAUCUCACCACACCGCCUCCAUCAUUCGAUGUAGCACCUAAAUCCGACCCGAGCCCUAGCCUUACCGUCGACAUGCAUCACCGGCGGCCUCCACACGCGACCAUCUGAACUGCAGCACCACUGUCGCUACCUUUCUUUGAUUUCCGGCUACCACCUCGCCUCACUACCUCCCUAGUUCGAACCAGCUCUCAAAACCAACCCAAACCCAGUCGAAAUCAUAACCAUGCAUCAAACCAAGCCGCCGCUUCUACACCCAUAGAACAGCCGUGUCGUCUCUCAUCGGAGACGGCCUUCUCCGAUCAUUUCCUUACCACACCGUCACCAAAGCUCCACUCAGCAAGCAACAAGGAGCAAAAUCCAAAAGUCUUGGCACCCACCAAGGCCGGACAACGCCGUACGAGCAUCGCCGGAAUCUCGGCUUCUGUUGAGAUCUAUUCAUCUUUACCGGCCUCAUCAAAACGCCACCGCCACCAACACUAGGACCAGCACGACCUAAUCUACCCACCUGCAAGGCUCCGAAGUCCAGCCCGGCUCAGAACCACGUCAAGCGGGCUUGAGACACCCUAGCGCCGCCGCCGCCGAGUUUCUAGGCCGACAGUUUGGUAAUUUUCGUGUUCCCCUCUAUGGUUAAAGCUUUUGGUUUGAGCAGAAUGGAAUUCCUAAUUAAUGUGUCGUUGAAUUUGGAGUAUUUGAGGAUUGUGAAUCUGUGAUAUCAAGCUUUGGAGAAAAGAGGAGCCAUUGGGAUGGUUUCGAUUGAAAUCGAAUAAGGUAAGGAACUAAGGAAUGGAUUAUUGAUCCUAUUUUUGCGUACUAGGGAAUCUGAAGGAUUAAUGGUGGUAGAGUGUAGCUUCGACGAUUCAACUUCUAAUUUGGGGAAAAGAAGAAUGGUAAGGGGACUGUGCAUUCUGGAAUCGAUAUGGUUGUGUGCUGUUUGUAUUGAUGGAAGUUAUGGCAUUAUUGAGUAAACAAAAUGACAUAUGGUCAUGCUGCUUGUGUAUUAACAGUUAUGUUGGAAACUUGGCAUGAAUAAGUAUGAAUCGACUUAUUAAAUAGAGGAGAAUUGUCUUGAGAAUUAAAAGGAUGAAUUUGUUAUCGACG
rnacentral:lncRNA from 1 species